rnacentral:rRNA from 1 species
ACGGGCGCUAAUACCGCAUACGUCCUGAGGGAGAAAGUGGGGGAUCUUCGGACCUCACGCUAUCAGAUGAGCCUAGGUCGGAUUAGCUAGUUGGUGGGGUAAAGGCCUACCAAGGCGACGAUCCGUAACUGGUCUGAGAGGAUGAUCAGUCACACUGGAACUGAGACACGGUCCAGACUCCUACGGGAGGCAGCAGUGGGGAAUAUUGGACAAUGGGCGAAAGCCUGAUCCAGCCAUGCCGCGUGUGUGAAGAAGGUCUUCGGAUUGUAAAGCACUUUAAGUUGGGAGGAAGGGCAGUAAGUUAAUACCUUGCUGUUUUGACGUUACCAACAGAAUAAGCACCGGCUAACUUCGUGCCAGCAGCCGCGGUAAUACGAAGGGUGCAAGCGUUAAUCGGAAUUACUGGGCGUAAAGCGCGCGUAGGUGGUUCAGCAAGUUGGAUGUGAAAUCCCCGGGCUCAACCUGGGAACUGCAUCCAAAACUACUGAGCUAGAGUACGGUAGAGGGUGGUGGAAUUUCCUGUGUAGCGGUGAAAUGCGUAGAUAUAGGAAGGAACACCAGUGGCGAAGGCGACCACCUGGACUGAUACUGACACUGAGGUGCGAAAGCGUGGGGGAGCAAACAGGAUUAGAUACCCUGGUA